CAAGCAACGUACGGAUUAUUGGGCGUAAGAGCUCGUAGGCGGUUUGUCGCGUCUGCCGUGAAAGUCCGGGGCUCAACUCCGGAUCUGCGGUGGGUACGGGCAGACUAGAGUGAUGUAGGGGAGACUGGAAUUCCUGGUGUAGCGGUGAAAUGCGCAGAUAUCAGGAGGAACACCGAUGGCGAAGGCAGGUCUCUGGGCAUUAACUGACGCUGAGGAGCGAAAGCAUGGGGAGCGAACAGGAUUAGAUACCCUGGUAGUCCAUGCCGUAAACGUUGGGCACUAGGUGUGGGGGACAUUCCACGUUUUCCGCGCCGUAGCUAACGCAUUAAGUGCCCCGCCUGGGGAGUACGGCCGCAAGGCUAAAACUCAAAGGAAUUGACGGGGGCCCGCACAAGCGGCGGAGCAUGCGGAUUAAUUCGAUGCAACGCGAAGAACCUUACCAAGGCUUGACAUGAACCGGACCGGGCUGGAAACAGUCUUUCCCCUUGUGGGCUGGUUUACAGGUGGUGCAUGGUUGUCGUCAGCUCGUGUCGUGAGAUGUUGGGUUAAGUCCCGCAACGAGCGCAACCCUCGUUCUAUGUUGCCAGCACGUGAUGGUGGGGACUCAUAGGAGACUGCCGGGGUCAACUCGGAGGAAGGUGGGGACGACGUCAAAUCAUCAUGCCCCUUAUGUCUUGGGCUUCACGCAUGCUACAAUGGCCGGUACAAAGGGUUGCGAUACUGUGAGGUGGAGCUAAUCCCAAAAAGCCGGUCUCAGUUCGGAUUGGGGUCUGCAACUCGACCCCAUGAAGUCGGAGUCGCUAGUAAUCGCAGAUCAGCAACGCUGCGGUGAAUACGUUCCCGGGCCUUGUACACACCGCCCGUCAAGUCACGAAAGUUGGUAACACCCGAAGCCGGUGGCCUAACCCCUUGUGGGAGGGAGCCCUCCAAAGUGGGACUGGGCGAUUGGGACUAAAUCGUAACAAGGUAGCCGUACCGGAAAUGCGUG
rnacentral:rRNA from 1 species